GUGAUGAGGAGUGGCUGCAAAUACAGAUGAAGCUUCGUUUGCUCACUUCCUGUUGUGUGGCCCAGACAGGGCACUGUCUGUGGCCCCAGGGGUUGAGGACCCCUGGCUUUAACAACAGAAAGGGAGGGAAUUGGGAUCUGAAGACGUUGCAUUCGAGGUCUCGGGGCUCCUGAUGAGCAGCCUCGGCCUGACCUGGGGCAGGUGUGAUGUCUGCGGCUCACCAUCUCCACCCUGCCUGCUGUGGAAUCUCCACAACGACAGGUGCUUUGGAGGCCAGAGUGCAUGCGUACGGGCCCUGCACACGCUGAAUGUCACUGGGAACAAGGACACACCCCGCUUCCAGGAGAAGAUAGAACAUGUCGACCCCUUUUAGCCAUCCCCAGUGCAGGACAUGCUAUUGACUUCCAUGAGACAAACACCUACUUGGAAAUCAGGUUUUUUCUGUACCUUUUGAAGGAGCAGGAAUUUCCCAGCAUUUCCUGGACAAAGACGGAGGCCACAUUCGCUGCAUCCUUUCCAGCAAGAUGUCAUUCUGAGAUUUUUGUCAUUCCUGGGCGUUAUGAGGACUGCCAAGGGACACAAUUCCAUGGGAGGAAAGUUUUCUUCUAAGCUGCAAGCCAGCUCUGGCUUCUGGAGUUUCUCCUUAGGAUUGCAAGACAGUAGUUCCCUGUCCUUUAGGUCUUCUCCAGAAAUACCUUAAAAUAGCAAAUAAAAUAAGAUAUAAGCAAACAAAA
ensembl:lncRNA SCAT1 S-phase cancer associated transcript 1